UCCAGACUCCUACGGGAGGCAGCAGUUAGGAAUAUUCGUCAAUGGGGGAAACCCUGAACGAGCAAUGCCGCGUGAAGGAUGACGGUCCUAUGGAUUGUAAACUUCUGUUGUUAGGGAAGAACGACCUAAGUAGGAAAUGACUUAGGAGUGACGGUACCUUUCAAGAAAGCUCCGGCUAACUACGUGCCAGCAGCCGCGGUAAUACGUAGGGAGCGAGCGUUAUCCGGAUUUAUUGGGUGUAAAGGGUGCGUAGGCGGCUUCUUAAGUCUGUAGUCUAAGCCCGGAGCUUAACUCCGGUUCGCUACAGAAACUGAUUAGCUUGAGUAUGGUAGAGGCAAGUGGAAUUUCUAGUGUAGCGGUUAAAUGCGUAGAUAUUAGAAGGAACACCAGUGGCGAAGGCGACUUGCUGGGCCAUUACUGACGCUGAGGCACGAAAGCGUGGGGAGCAAAUAGGAUUAGAUACCCGCGUAC
rnacentral:rRNA from 1 species